rnacentral:rRNA from 3 species
GAUUAGCUAGUUGGUAGGGUAAUGGCCUACCAAGGCGACGAUCCGUAGCUGGUCUGAGAGGACGAUCAGCCACACUGGGACUGAGACACGGCCCAGACUCCUACGGGAGGCAGCAGUGGGGAAUAUUGGACAAUGGGGGGAACCCUGAUCCAGCAAUGCCGCGUGUGUGAAGAAGGCCUUCGGGUUGUAAAGCACUUUCAGUGGGGAAGAAAUUCUCAAGUCUAAUACCCUUGAGCGUUGACGUUACCCACAGAAGAAGCACUGGCUAACUCUGUGCCAGCAGCCGCGGUAAUACAGAGAGUGCAAGCGUUAAUCGGAAUCACUGGGCGUAAAGCGCGCGUAGGUGGAUAUUUAAGUCGGAUGUGAAAGCCCUAGGCUUAACCUGGGAAUUACAUCCGAUACUAGGUAUCUCGAGUAUGAUAGAGGGAAGUGGAAUUUCCGGUGUAGCGGUGAAAUGCGUAGAUAUCGGAAAGAACAUCAGUGGCGAAGGCGGCUUCCUGGAGCAAUACUGACACUGAGGCGCGAAAGCGUGGGGAGCAAACAGGAUUAGAGACCCUGGUAGUCCACGCUGUCAACGAUGAGAACUAGCUGUUGGAAAGUUUACUUUCUAGUAGCAAAGGCUAACGCGUUAAGUUCUCCGCCUGGGGAGUACGGC